UUUAGAGUCUAAAUAAAGUGACAUUUCCUCUCUUCACCUUCUCACAUUGUUUGCACCCAAGACUGAUCCAGGAUCAGUGAGAUGAGCCGGUAUGCCGUGGACACUAGUGGUUUGUUUAGAUAUGCAAAUUAAAUGUUAAUGUGCGGUUUUGAGUUCUGAAAACAAAUGCAGGUUUCCAUAGUAAUGGCUGGUUCAUAGAAACCUGUGUGGCGUGUGCUCUUUGUAGAAGUUUUGGUAUUUACAGUCUAGAGUGUCAAAGAUUAAGAGACAAAGCUUAAAGGACUUUUACGGGAUUUUACAUGGUUUGAUAGCUGCGGGGAUCUUUAUAAUCUUGCUGCUGGCUCUUUACACUGUCUUGUGGAAAUGCAUGGUGUCUCCACCACGAAGGGGGAAAAGGAAGCGGAUCUUAAAGGGGGCCAAUGCGACAUUUUUAUGAGCCAAAGGUUUUUUCACGGAGUUUUAGAUGUGGUAAAAAAAAACAAAAAACAAACAAAAAAAAACCUCAGAUGACCUGCUCUUUUCUUCAGGAAUAAAUUAAUAAAAGGGUUGAUUUAUUCAGCAUGAUGCCCUUAGACUCUGGGCACACUUAAAAGCAGAAGUGUGUGAUCAUCGCCACUAGGAGGCAGCACUGUGUGUAUUUUGGCUGCGUUUCCUGAUCUGCUUGAUUUAACAAACAACGCAUCACUGGACUUGAUCAAAGCUGUUGUAAAUGUUCUGUAAAAAAAACAAACACUUAUUUUCUUAUUUCAAGGGAAAUUUGCUUUAUAUUUCAAGGGAGCUUUGAAUCACACUAUAUGAAGUGUCAUGACACAACAGGAUGAAAGGGUCAAUGGAUUAUUUUUGCAUGGACUUUCCCUUGGCAGUGAAUACAAUGUAUUUAAAUGAUUUCCUUUUGGCUAGAAUAUUAACUAGAAGCCUAUUCACGUAGCUGGCUGUUGUCAGGGCCGAGCGUUAUCAAUGAUCUAAGUACAAAAAAGUCAAAAUAAGUCCUUGCCAUUCACAUCAGAUUAAGUGAUGUUAAGAAAUGUUGUAGAAUGGAUUACUUAAGAAUUUUGUGCCUCAGUAAAAUUAAACAGGACGGUACACAGUACAGAGAAAGACACGAGAAGCAAGAUGGAGGCUGAUUUCUUUCCAGCCCAGGCUGUAGGUUCACGCAGCCUAUCAGUACCAGCCCAGUCGUGUCAGAGUGACACGCCCCCAAGAUUUUGGCUGAUAUUGUUUUCCGUAAAACACAAAAUCAUCAGUGAUCUUGAUGGUUGUACAUGCAAUCCAGGCGGAAAUGUUGCAGGAAAAGCUAAAAGUAGAUUACGCACACUAAGCACAUGCUGUCCAAUCAAAAUACAAGUUACACAAUUUUUAUUUUUUUUAAUGAAUUGAACUUGUUAGCUUCUUUUUGCCAUUUUUGGUAUUUGGAGGAAGCAUACCAAGACAUCAUAAGAGUAUUUGAACUCAAGAAUGUGGCUGCUAAUCUGUCUUAAAGUGUGUGUGUGUGUGUGUGUGUGUGUGUGUGGGUGGGUGGGUGGCUGUGUGUAUGAUAGUUUGCCCUCCAUUAUUAUUUUUAACCCAUCCAUUAGAUCUUGAGUUAUGAUGCUUUGCUCAGUACAGUAAUCAUGUCCAGCUCUCACUGGUUGCUGAAUAUUUUGGUGCUUUUGUUUACUUAAAAACAAUCUAUAAAUACCACUAUACAUGGAGUGAGUAAGAUUUCAGCUGAACUGAUGAAAGCUAUGAAACGGCCCCUAGGAUGGUGGCAGGGAUUUGAUCAUGGGGAAGUCAUGAAGAUUUUUUAAAACAGCCUCAGAACACUGGGGUAUUUUCUUACAAAAACAUCCCCUUUGCCCUGUGUGAACAGUAUGUGUCUGUGUGUGUGUGAGUGUGUGUAUAGAGCAGUGGAGCACAGAUCUUACUGGUGGACAAUUCUUACAGGGUCAACGUGUGUGUGUGUGUGUGUGUGUGUUAGACAUGUUAAGAGGUUGUUUAAAAAUGAACCUUUUAUUCAAUAGCAUUCAGUGCAUUUUAUUCCAAUGUGUAAUGUAUAUUCACAUCACUAAUAAAAGACUUUUUAUUAUAAAUAAAAUUUAUAUUAAAUUAAAUUUUUUUUAAUAAUUUGAAUAAACUUUCAUUUUACAUUUAUGACAUUAAGUAAUAAUUUAGUCAUUUUUCCAAAUAACGUGUGUGGGUGUGUGCAGUGCUGAAUAAUGUGUGGCGAGUGGGUGUGUUGUGGGUUGUGCAUGAAUAAGGGGUGGUUAAUGAUAGAUGGAUAGAUAGACAGACAGACAGACACAGACAGACAGAUAGACAGAUAGAUAGAUAGAUAGAUAGAUAGAUAGAUAGAUAGAUAGAUAGAUAGAUAGAUAGAUAGAUAGAUAGAUAGAUAGAUAGAUAGAUGAGUGUAAAACAGUGUGUAAAUAUGUGAAAGAAAAACCUGUUCAAUAUGAUAUGAAGUACAAUAAUACACUAAACGAGUGAAGGUGUGUGUGUGUGUGUGUGUGUGUGUGUGUGCGUAGGAUUAAAAAGAUAAAUGUAAAUGUAUCCUCGUUCACAUCUUCAUAAUCUGUACAGAUACACUGGAAUAAAAAAAAAACUUAAAACUUUUGUCUUUGUAUUUGCUUCAUGUCAUGUUUUCACAUUUCCCAUGAUCCUUCGUUUUUGUUUUGUGUCCAGUCCUGUAUUUUCUCUGCUUUUUUUUACACUACUGUGUUCACCUGUUCUGUGUUUAGUGAUUGAUUGGUUCAGAUCUUUGUGACUCGCGAUAGUGAUUGCUCCCUAAGAAUAUACAAGUUACACACUGCAAUUUUUCCUUUCACCUGAUGGUGGCAGCAGUGUUAACAAAUUAGUUAGUGUUCAAUCAUAUACCUCCAAAAAUGUCUGGUAUGGGUGCAUUUUAAUCAAGCAGGAACCUCACCUGAUUUCACCUGUUUAAUCAGUGGCUCAAGACAUUUAGGCUUGGUUGGAUUAAAAACCUGCACCCACAUUGGACCUAGAUUGGAUUAGAUUGGACUCUAGAAAGAAAGUUCCAAAAAGAAAGACGAAUUCAUGAAUAACAUCAUGUGUGUCACAGUUACAGCUGUUAGUUGAUACCUUCAUGCAGUUUAAUUGACUUUAUUAGUGUCCGGCUCUCACGGAUUCUGAUUCCAUUUAAUCCGACCCCCUUUGAAAAAAGUUUGUACACCCCUGGUCUAUGUCUAUUCUUCUAUAGUUUGGUCUCAAAUCUUAAACUUUUGGAACUUUAAAUCCAAGCCCAGGUGUGUUCUUUUUAUUGGAUUAUGGAUUAUAUCAUCAGGCAGCACGGUGGCUUAGUGAUUAGCACUUACAUCAAGAAGGUCCUGGGUUUGAAUCCCAGGUUCGAACAGGCAGGGGCCUUUCUGUGUGGAGUUUGCAUGUUCUCCCCGUGCCUGUGUGGGGGUACUCUGGUUUCCACCCACAGUCCAAAAACGUGUACAUUAGGUUUAUUGGUAAUUCUAAAUUGCCCAUAGGAGUGAGUGUGUGUGUGUGUGGUUGUCUGUCUAUAUGUGUGGCCCUGUGAUGGACUGGUGACCUGUCCAGGGUGUACCCCUGCCUUUCGCCCAACAGAUCCAACAGAUCCCCCGUGACCCUAAUUAGGAAUAAAGUGGGUAUAGAAGAUGGAUGGAUUAUAUCAUCCAUGGACUUGGAACAGUAUUUUUGGAUUACUUUAAAAUAGCAAGACUUCCUAUUUUUUGUUUGUUUGUUUUUUGGGGGUGUUUUUAAUGGCAAAAACAGGCUUCCACAAAUUUAAUACCUUCUUUUUGGUUAUAUUAAAUGUCUUCAUGCUGAAGUGAAUAAUUUAGUUAUAUAAACGAUUAUACGUUCAUAAAUAUUAAUUGUUUAUAACUAUUAUAAAUGACUAAUUAUUAAUUGUGUUUAUAAAGAAAGUUAAAUCACAUCAACAUUGGGUUGGAUGUUGCCAAAAAAAAAUAGUACAAGAAAAUCUAAUUAAUAGUCCAAAAAAAUAGUCCAAAAAAAUAUAAAAAAAUUUUUUUUUAGAGAAUUUAAAGAGCGCUUACUUUUAGAUUGGAUUUUUUUUUGUUUGUUUGUUUUUGUUCAACAGGAUAUUAAAAAUGCAAGGUAGAUUUAUGAGGUUACAGUUCACCUUGAUAAACACGGUGCAAAGAGGUAAUAACAAUUUCACAAUCCCACAACCACAACGAGUCCGGUCCUGUUACGUUAUUUAUUACAUCUCUUUCUUAACGGCUGCAUCAGCAGACGGUUUUGCAAGCACACACACGAAGACAUUUCUCUAGGCACUUUUCCAUGGAGUGUUUAAAAAAAAAAAAAUCAUUCUAUGAAAAUGUCAUGGAAUUAAAUAAAAUACAGUACAAGGAAGCAAAAAGAAAAUACGUGUGGAAAAAAAAAAUCAAGAAGUCAUUUCUUUCCCACGCAUUCCGUCAGAUUUUCAUGUCAGACUCGAAUGAAGUGCGAGUGCAGGCUGACACGAGAAAGCAAUGGUCAGCAGUUAAAAGGUUAACAGCCGAUUCGGACUGCUGUGAAGCCUACGUUAAGGCUCUUAGAAGUGACA